rnacentral:rRNA from 1 species
AGGCUACGAUGGGUAGGGGUCCUGAGAGGGAGAUCCCCCACACUGGUACUGAGACACGGACCAGACUCCUACGGGAGGCAGCAGUGAGGAAUAUUGAACAAUGGGCGCAAGCCUGAUCCAGCCAUGCCGCGUGCAGGAUGACGGUCCUAUGGAUUGUAAACUGCUUUUGUACGAGAAGAAACACUCCUACGUGUAGGAGCUUGACGGUAUCGUAAGAAUAAGGAUCGGCUAACUCCGUGCCAGCAGCCGCGGUAAUACGGAGGAUCCAAGCGUUAUCCGGAAUCAUUGGGUUUAAAGGGUCCGUAGGCGGUUUAGUAAGUCAGUGGUGAAAGCCCAUCGCUCAACGGUGGAACGGCCAUUGAUACUGCUGAACUUGAAUUAUUAGGAAGUAACUAGAAUAUGUAGUGUAGCGGUGAAAUGCUUAGAGAUUACAUGGAAUACCAAUUGCGAAGGCAGGUUACUACUAAUGGAUUGACGCUGAUGGACGAAAGCGUGGGUAGCGAACAGGAUUAGAUACCCUGGUAGUCCACGCCGUAAACGAUGGAUACUAGCUGUUGGAAGCAAUUUCAGUGGCUAAGCGAAAGUGAUAAGUAUCCCACCUGGGGAGUACGUUCGCAAGAAUGAAACUCAAAGGAAUUGACGGGGGCCCGCACAAGCGGUGGAGCGUGUGGUUUAAUUCGAUGAUACGCGAGGAACCUUACCAAGGCUUAAAUGUAGAUUGACCGGUUUGGAAACAGAUCUUUCGCAAGACAAUUUACAAGGUGCUGCAUGGUUGUCGUCAGCUCGUGCCGUGAGGUGUCAGGUUAAGUCCUAUAACGAGCGCAACCCCUGUUGUUAGUUGCCAGCGAGUGAUGUCGGGAACUCUAACAAGACUGCCAGUGCAAACUGUGAGGAAGGUGGGGAUGACGUCAAAUCAUCACGGCCCUUACGCCUUGGGCUACACACGUGCUACAAUGGCCGGUACAGAGAGCAGCCACUGGGCGACCAGGAGCGAAUCUAUAAAACCGGUCACAGUUCGGAUCGGAGUCUACAACUCGACUCCGUGAAGCUGGAAUCGCUAGUAAUCGGAUAUCAGCCAUGAUCCGGUGAAUACGUUCCCGGGCCUUGUACACACCGCCCGUCAAGCCAUGGAAGCUGGGGGUGCCUGAAGUCGGUGACCGCAAGGAGCUGCCUAGGGUAAAACUGGUAACUAGGGCUAAGUCGUAACAAGGUA